rnacentral:rRNA from 1 species
CCUACGGGUGGCAGCAGUGAGGAAUAUUGGUCAAUGGGCGUAAGCCUGAACCAGCCAAGUCGCGUGAGGGAUGAAGGUUCUAUGGAUCGUAAACCUCUUUUAUAAGGGAAUAAAGUGUGGGACGUGUCCUAUUUUGUAUGUACCUUAUGAAUAAGGAUCGGCUAACUCCGUGCCAGCAGCCGCGGUAAUACGGAGGAUCCGAGCGUUAUCCUGAUUUAUUGGGUUUAAAGGGUGCGGAGGCGGCCUUUUAAGUCGGCGGUGAAAGUCUGUGGCUCAACCAUAGAAUUGCAUUUGAAACUGGGGGGCUUGAGUAUGUUUGAGGCAGGCGGAAUGCGUGGUGUAGCGGUGAAAUGCUGAGAUAUCGCGCGGAACCCCGAUUGCGAAGGCAGCCUGCCAAGCCAUGACUGACGCUGAUGCACGAAAGCGUGGGGAUCAAACAGGAUUAGAUACCCGAGUAGUC